UUUUUACAAACUUGAAAUGCAAGACGUCUAAUAAUAAGUUUUAAACAUAAAAAUAUUUUUAAACUAAAAUUCAAAAACGAUUUUCAAAUACAAAUCUAGAAAAAUAAUGUUUUCUCGAUAAAUUAAAUGGUAUUUACAUUUUUGAAAACAAACAUUUUUGCAGGUACAUUUUAAUUCUUAAAAUGCAGGAAAUAGUUUUAAACAGACUUUUUUGUUACAUUAACAUAUUGAAUUAUAUGAUAUGAAGGAAUUAUAGUUUUUUUUAUUGAAAUAAUAGGGGAAUUCACGAUCGGAUGUAAAUGGUCUUACAUCAGUGCAUGUGCAUAUUUUUUGUGCAUACAGAUGCUAUACACUAACAAAAUAUAUGAAUAUGCACAUGCUUUAGUAUUGCAAAUUUACUUCGCUGAAACCCUAAAGUAUAAAAAUGCACAAUCAUGAGCAACACUGUUUUGACAGCAAUAAAUCAGCUGAUAUUUAAAUAAUCAACAUGGCUGGAAUAAAUAGAAAAAACGAAUAAAAAGUGGUCACUUGCCGAAAUUAUGUAUGAGAAUAAUUGACUUACCUUCAUCAAUAAUGGUAGCAGCAGCUUCUUCUUAAGCUUAAGCGAAUCAAUAAUUUGUUUUUUUUUUUCAGUUUUCCUCGGCAUAUUAAAACCAAAAUAAACUUUUGAAUUCCACAUAAAAAUAAAAAUAAUCAGCUGUUCUCACAACUGUCAAAAAUCGUUGCAAGUACACCUUGCUUUUUUAUUUGCUUUUCGGGCGUUGUGCAUAUAUUUACUCUCAAAUGCAAUUCACAGACUAAUUGCACUAGAUCGUGAAUUUCCCUAAAUGUAUAAAAUGUUUGGAAAAAUAUGAAAAAGUAAAUCAAUCUACUUCACUUUUUUUUCUAAAAUCUACUUCCAAUUAAUAAUGAGAAGUGGUAACGCUGGUGGAAAUUCACUAAAGAAAUAUUCUGUACGUCAACAAUAAUUAUUCAUGUCGAUUACAUGAUCUAUUGAAUGAGUUGUGCAUGAAUUCAGAACGAUUUUAAGACGUUUUUAUUUUGUGAUAUAUGUCAAAAUUUUACAUUUUAUUUGCUCUGCAUUUAUUCAACAGGUUCGCUAUAAUCGUUCUAGUUAUUUUUUUAAAGCAUUGGUGUUCCUUUGAUUCAUAGUUUUUCUAUCAAUCAAUAAUGUUAUGGAUAAGGUUUUAAUUACUUGCAAACAAAAUAUUUGGGCUUGAACAUGGUUUUUUCAAGAUAAAAAUGAACAUUGGUUGCUAUCAACAAAAGCUUAAAAUUGGCUUUUGUCAAAAUUACAAAUACAACAAUCUAAACAAACGGGUUUCGGAGUAGAAACGUACGAAAGAUUCCCAUCUUGGUAAUUGCAGUAUGUUUGCUUAAAACAUAAAAUAAACUAACCUCGAAAUUCAAAAUAUAACUAAACUGAAGAAGUCAAGAUAGAAACCAUAAAGGAAAUAUAUUAUCUAGAAUCCCGAGCGGUACCCGUCUUACCUGAGACACCAUCAAAUUACAUUCCAGGUAAACUCUUGAAUUCGCCAUCGGUGAUUACAUGUGAGUGGUGAAAAAAAAGCGAAAUGGGGGAUUGGGCUACAAGAAAACAUUAUGAAAUUUUUGUGACCUGUCAAAAAUUACAAUUCCACAACGGAUUUUAAGAAUUCUUUGUUGAAGGCAGUUACCAAAAGAGUGUAGGGAAUGAUUUCAAUUUGGACAUUGCAGAACCUAUGAUGAGCCUCAUCAUUUAAGAGAUGCUUGAAAUUAUGGAAUUGCACUUUUGGUUUUGUUGAAUAAAUGCUCACUUUUCCGACCAAGACGGAACCAGUCAAUAAAGUUUUACUUUAAACUUGGCAUCAAACCAAACCUUUGGUAACUCCUUUACCGUUCUAACCAGUGGCCCCAAGGAAUUGGGGGUUUUACAACGGAUUCCCAAUUGUUUUUGUUUUUCAGUUUGGGCCACCUCUUUUAAAAUUUGGUGCGAAUGAAGGAUUUGAUUUAAUAAAUUCUGUGAACCUUUUCAUUCCACCUGGAUUAGUAUCUUCCACCCUUUAGUAAAAAUUAAACUAAUAACACUAAAAGAAACAGUAAAACAUAAUAAAAACUUGCAUUUUCAUUUAAUUUUUCACAAGGCGUUUGAAAAUUUUACGUCGACAGAAAAUGGCGGUUUACUCGUCCUAAAAGGAAACUAAAACAACAGCGAGAGUUACAUUUGUCGAUCAAAAAUUUGGAUUCCACUAACCGCCAAAUGCCAAGUAGCGUACGCUAAGUAAAACGCUUCUAUAACGCCCUUUGCAAUACCAAUUUGUUUGUGUGACAAUUUUCGUUCACAAAUGAAUUUAUUGCCUUUCUUAUAUCUCCCAAAACCUUGUAAUUGAACAGAGUUACCGGAAAGUUUUUUUCCAGGUAGAAAGCGAAAGCAUCGAACAUAUUUGUGGCGAAGAGUUCGAAGACGUAUCCUUUGGAAUCUUUAUGACGAACUAUGAGCAAGUCUUCCUCGUCCUUGGGGUCGUCACGCCAAUAUCCAUAGUGAAUUCUGGUUCCUCGCUUAACGAAGAGCGUUUGAAUCUCUAGAGGAUCAUAAAAGAACCGCCAGUGCCGCAAAUAGUCACCGGGCUUUUAUUUUCGACGUUUUUUUGUUGCCACGCAGCUCGCCCAGUUUCCUUUUUUUCUCUGCCAUAUUCUGUAAAUAAAAAAAACAAUAAUUCUUAUUUUGUAAGGAAAUUGUAUAAAUAA